rnacentral:lncRNA from 1 species
AAACCAUGGAUCCAAAGAAACAAAUCAAUAAGCCAAAUCAAGAUGUGCAUGUGUGGCGAAUGAAUGGUGUAUGGUGAUGAUGGUGAUAACAAUGGUGGUGGAAGUCUAAUUCUACUUUUGCUCUUUGAGGGAAUACAUACCUUCCUUGCUUUUUGAAACUUUGUGAGGAGAAUGAGAUGCUCUUCUUUUUCUUUUCUCUCAGGUGGGUAUCUUGUACCCCUAAUUCUACUGU